UUGUCGUCAUCGUUGUCGUCGUUGUCGCUGUAGUCUCUCUUGUUGUUGUUGUUGUUGUCGUUGUUAUCAUUUUCCUCAUUAUUGUUGUUGUUGUCAUCGUUAUCGUCGUCCUUGUUGUUGUUGUUGUUGUUGUCGUUGCUAUUGUUGUUGAUGUUGUUGUCUAUAUUCUCGUCAUUGUUGUUGUUGAUGUUGUCGUAGUUGUCAUUAUUCUCGCUGUUGUUGUUGUACUUGUUGUUGUUGUUGUGGUUGUUGUUAUUGCGGUUGUUGUUUUUGUUGUGGUUGUUGUUGUUGUUGUUGUUGUCACCGUUGUAGUAACCACGGUAGAAAUAAAUUA
rnacentral:lncRNA from 1 species